UGGAAUUUUAAAAUUAAAUCAUUCACUAAAAGCCAAGACAAAAAAUCAUUAAAUUUUAUAUUUCAAAAGACUUGUUGUUUUUCUGUUGUUUUUUUUAGGUUGGAGUGGGUAAUUAGUCCUUUUGCAUGACAAAAUUGAUACUCAAACACAUCUUGUAGUUUGAAAAAAUUGGUAAUAUUUAAAAGAAUGAAAUUUUGAAGGUGUGUGUUAAACCUUCACCACAACCCAACACCCAACUUUAAGAUAGACAAAAUGGAUACUCAGACGCAUCUUGUAAUGCGGCAAAAUAGUUUUUUAUACUUACUAAUUUCUCUCUGUUUAAAAAAGCAUUUAACAAUUUAUGUGAAAUUUUCAUGAAAAAAUUUUUUUUUUAGGGGCGGAAGGGGGGGCGGCAUACGCCCUCUUCCAUAAAGCAAUUUAUACACUACUAGUUACUAUUUUUUAAAGUGUUGAAAUAUAUUUUUUAUUUUUAUAAUAGAUUUAAUCAUUUUAGUAAA